AGAGUUUGAUCCUGGCUCGAGGACGAACGCUGGCGGCGUGCUUAACACAUGCAAGUCGAACGAGAAGCACUGGAAGGAGUUUUCGGACAACGGAAGGUGUGGAAAGUGGCGGACGGGUGAGUAACGCGUGGGUAACCUGCCCUUAAGAGGUGAAUAACAACGAGAAAUCGGUGCUAAUACACCAUAUGCUUACAAGUGUCGCAUGACAUAGUGAGGAAAGAAUUUCGCUUAAGGAUGGACCCGCGUUUGAUUAGCCAGUUGGCAGGGUAACGGCCUACCAAAGCAACGAUCAAUAGCCGGCCUGAGAGGGUGAACGGCCACAUUGGAACUGAGACACGGUCCAAACUCC
rnacentral:rRNA from 1 species